ACGUACACUCCUGCGGGAGGCAGCAGUGGGGAAUAUUGGACAAUGGGCGCAAGCCUGAUCCAGCCAUGCCGCGUGAGUGAUGAAGGCCCUAGGGUUGUAAAGCUCUUUCACCGGUGAAGAUAAUGACGGUAACCGGAGAAGAAGCCCCGGCUAACUUCGUGCCAGCAGCCGCGGUAAUACGAAGGGGGCUAGCGUUGUUCGGAUUUACUGGGCGUAAAGCGCACGUAGGCGGACUAUUAAGUCAGGGGUGAAAUCCCGGGGCUCAACCCCGGAACUGCCUUUGAUACUGGUAGUCUUGAGUUCGAGAGAGGAGAGUGGAAUUCCGAGUGUAGAGGUGAAAUUCGUAGAUAUUCGGAGGAACACCAGUGGCGAAGGCGGCUCACUGGCUCGAUACUGACGCUGAGGUGCGAAAGCGUGGGGAGCAAACAGGAUUAGGAACCCUAGUAGUCCCAUGA
rnacentral:rRNA from 1 species